rnacentral:misc_RNA from 1 species
GUAGGUGAACCUGCGGAAGGAUCAUUAUAGAUUUUAAGGUUGAUGGCUGAGGGGUAGGGUGCUGUGAGCAAAUGCGUAAGCAUUAUGCGUGCAGCAUUCUACUUUUCUUUCACAACAAAACAUGUUCGAUGUUAGGUUAGAGAUUGUGAGUUAUUGCGAUAUCACUAUCAAAAUAUCCCACCUAUCCAACUGUACAUCGCUACACUUGCUUAUUCUUGUUUGUCAAAGUAAAACUACCAAUAUAUUAUAA